AGCGAACGCUGGCGGCAGGCUUAACACAUGCAAGUCGAGGGGAGCGGCAGACGGGUGAGUAACGCGUGGGAACGUACCUUUUGGUUCGGAACAACAAAGGGAACCUUGUGCUAAUACCGGAUACCGAAAGAUCGGCCAGCGUCUAAUUAGCUAGGUGGUAGGGUAAUGGCCUACAAAGGCGACGAUCAGUAGCUGGUCUGUGAGGAUGAUCAGCCACAUUGGGACUGAGACACGGCCCAAACUCCUCCGGGAGGGAGCAGUGGGGAAUAUUGGAAAAGGGGGGCAACCCGGAUCCACCCAGGCCGGGGGAGUGAUGAAGGCCCGAGGGUGGUAAAGCUCUUUUGUGCGGGAAGCGGUACCGAAAGAAUAAGCCCCGGCUAACUUCGUGCCAGCAGCCGCGGUAAUAC
rnacentral:rRNA from 1 species